GCGGCUGCACCACUAGGAUACCCUGAUCCAACAUCGAGGUCGUAAGCCCACCUGUCGAUAGGAGCUCUUGAGGUGGAUUGCGCUGUUAUCCCUAGGGUAACUUGGUUCGUUGAUCAAAAUAUUGGGUCAAUUUAUGUCAGUUUAUUGGUGCUUGAAGUUGUAGUUUUCUGCUCAGAAAAGGUUUCGUUCAAUGUGGAGGUUAAUUUUUGCUCCGCGGUCACCCCAACCUAAAACUAAUAGUCAUAUAUGCUAGAAUAGGUAUUAUAGUUCUGAAAUGUAUUAAUGUAUAAGCUUUUGCUAUAUAGUUUAAAGCUCCAUAGGGUCUUCUCGUCUUAUAUAAUAAUCCCCGCUUCUUCACGGGGAGAUCAGUUUCAUUGAUUAGAAAAAGGAGACAGUAUAACCCUCGUGAUGCCAUUCAUACUAGUCCUUAUUUAAAGAACAAGUGAUUACGCUACCUUCGCACGGUUAGGAUACCGCGGCCGUUGAAUUGAGUCACUGGGCAGGCUAGACCUCUUAUAUUUUGCAAGAGGCGAUGUUUUUGGUAAACAGGCGAGGUUAAUGUUUGCCGAGUUCCUUCUUUUUCUUUUAAUCUUUCUUGAGAUGUUCUGGUGUUAGGUUAACGCUAGGUAAAACAGGGUUUUCUGGUGGAGUUGCUGUUUUAGGUUCAUUAGCAAUAAUUAUCAGUGGUUAGUCCUUUCUGAUUUACACUUACAUUAAAGAGAAGGUCGUCUUCUUAUUACUAGUUUUAACAUAAUAACUUCUAUAGGUCUAUAGAAUGGCUUAAUAUAAAUAAAGGG
rnacentral:rRNA from 1 species